GUCAGUGACCAGAAAAUAUAUAUCUCAACCUUUUAGAGAAAUAACAUAAGAAAACUUGAGUUUGACACAAUAGCUUUCAAGUCAAGAGCCUGAGGAACAGUAUAAGAAAAAGGGAUGGUGGACACCAUGCAGAUAGCUGUGUUGAAAAAGACUAAAGAUUAAUGGGGACAGGAUUAACUUGAAUGUGGGAGAGUGGGUCCACAUUUGCAGUUGGCUGGUGAAUGACUUGAAGUAGCCGAUGGAGCUCUGUGGGAAGCCUGAGCCAAAGCAAGGUUGUUCACAGAAGUCUUUGAGUGGAGAGAUGUGAAAAAUAAAGUUGUAUGUUUCUUUAUGAAGAAAAGAAGAGAUAAAGUAGGGAAUGUUUCUCUGCAGCAUACUGUUUAUAGACUAGUUUCCUCUAUUUCAUAGCAUUAUAGAAAAGCUGUUCCACAUGCUUACCUUUGUUGGAUUUUGCCUUGGAUUGGAAUACUCUUUUCAAGAUUACAAACAUAUUUGUCACUCAGGAAACUGGUCUCUGGAAACUUCCUCCUGGAUCGGGCUCUAUGGUGUCUGUGGAUAGUAAUGCCACCUUGUGGAUCUUGAGAGUCGUAAGUCUCUAGGCGUUCACUAACCAAGCCUUAAGACUUUGCUACGUCUGUGAGGCUCAAAAACACACGUCACUUACUCAAGU